rnacentral:misc_RNA from 1 species
GACACCACUCGGCGGCCCCCCCCGUUGCUCGCGCGACGGGAGGUUGCGCGCGGACUCUGCGUGUUCCGGACGAACGUCAGGUUCCACCGAACUUCGUGAACCAAACUUCUACUGCCUUGCUGCACAAAGUUGUUGACGGCGUCCGCUUCGGGGCGGACUCUCGACUCGUUUAUUGCUCCAGGUCUAUCGGUAGGGGUGAUUCCGGUUGCUGCGCCUCCGCAACUUGUUAAAGUGGGCGGGAGGUCCCCCCAACUACUUUCG